rnacentral:pre_miRNA from 1 species
GGAAACUUGAAAACUACCGUUGAAUCGAAAAAUGGACGUCCAAGAUUCGACCAUAUUAUUACGAGUAAAAAAAAUUUACUCACAGUAAAAAAAUUUACUCAUGAGUAAACCCGUGAGUAAAAUUUUUACUUAUAAUGAUGACGUGAACGAAUCUAGGACGUCCAUUUUUCAAUCGAACGGUAAUUUAUAAGUUUCU